rnacentral:rRNA from 1 species
UACGUAGGGUGCGAGCGUUGUCCGGAGUUACUGGGCGUAAAGAGCUCGUAGGCGGUUUGUCGCGUCGGCCGUGAAAUUCUGCUGCUUAACGGCGGACUUGCGGUCGAUACGGGCAAACUUGAGUUCGGUAGGGGAGACUGGAAUUCCUGGUGUAGCGGUGAGAUGCGCAGAUAUCAGGAGGAACACCGGUGGCGAAGGCGGGUCUCUGGGCCGAUACUGACGCUGAGGAGCGAGAGCGUGGGGAGCGAACAGG